GCAUUUCACUGUCACACCGCCGAAGAGAAUACACUGUUAUUAUUCCUGAGCACUCCGACACUAGCGCCAUCUCUAUCUGGCCACCGCAGAAAUUUUGGACGUUUUCUCCCUCAAGUUGUUGACAGAUUCUACUUGGACUUCGAUCCUUGUAGUUGCAAUCCGCGAGAUAAGAGGAUUCAUCUUAUCAUAGCAACUAUUUUUGUCUCAUGGAUUUAAACCAGAACGGUUUUCGUUCAAUGGUAGUAAAUAACGAUUUAAAAUCUCCAACUAAUUUCAUGCAUUAGGUUUUUUAAAUGAAUUAAAAAUUUAACAUUUAAAUUAUAGAAGAGAAAUCGCGAUAUCCAAGAAAUCGCGUGGAUUUGUUAUCAGAUAAGGAGAUGAUAACAUUAUCAAGAUAGAUUAAAUUUAAAAGGACCUAUCUCUUGGAAAAGUAGGAUUAACUGGAUAUUCCGCAGAUCAAGAGCGAAAUUGCAACCUGUUAGCGAAGACGAUUGUAGGAGCGAAAGUUGGAAUUUCUGGAGAGAAAGUUAAAAUUUCGGAAAAGCUUUCAACUUUUACGUUGACGUGAUUGGGCAUUAAGUGUUUUAGUGAACUGAAGCAACGAUUUUCAUUGGUUUUUGAAGCGACAGUUAUAUACUUUUAGAAUCGUUUGGAGUAAUAAGUUAACAAACUUAACGUGGAAUCUUAGUUAGAUAUAAAUAGCUUUUCUUUAAAUAUAAAAUAAAUAAUUUAGGAAUUAUAAAAAUUAAAAGUAAAUGCACAAAUUUAUUAAUUUGCAACGGAAAUAUAUUAUUUUUAGAAAACUAAUGAGAUUUUUUAGAGACAGAUUUUUUUCCGAAAAAAUGCUUAUGAAGGAAUAUAACCAAGAUGAAUUGGAAUAAGUUUGAAGCAAUUUGGUGCGGAAACGGAAGUUCUAGAGCUAAUCUGGAAAUAUUUUAUUUGCAGCUAAUUUAGAUAAAUUAGUGCAAAAAUACCAGUUUCGAUGCACUUAGUGAGAUUUUUUUUAAAAAACUUUGUUUAAUAGACAUUUUUUUAAAGCGAAAAAAGACGCCCUUUAUAUAGAAUUCUUUAUUUAGGUAUUAAAUCUUACGGAUGUUUGCGCACCAUCUGAUUGGUUUUUUGAAUUGACGUCAAUUCAAGUAUUCUUGAGCAAUAAAUGCAAUUUGGCUGAAAUCCAUGCAUAUAAGCAGCUGUUUCAACCGAAGCUGGAGUAUAUGGCCAUAUAAAAAAAGCAGCAUAAAAGUAAGCAUUAAAAAGCUAAUUUCCUUUUGAGUUGGCAGUGGGGACAACUGAGAGGAAGAAAUGUUCGAUUGUGUUUGUUUCCGAAGUACUGUUUCGUGAGUGUUAGAAAAAAAAAUUAACGCACGUGACUGGAGAUCAUUGUCAGUGCCUUUCGUGGAUAAACCGAAUACUAACGGAUUACUUGGUUUCCGGUGUGGUUCCAGCGCUGUUGGAAUUCUCAAUUUAGGUUGCAUCUUAAAUUUUACACCCAAUUCCUUUCUUGAAGUAAGUAUAGAUGAAAAUGUAUGUGUCAAUACAAAUUUGUACUUUGUAUAAUGUACUUAGUAUUAUUUGACAGAAUAAAUUCAUAUUAUUAUAAA
rnacentral:lncRNA from 1 species